rnacentral:misc_RNA from 1 species
AACGGUCUAUACCUGCGGUACCUGCGGAGGGAUCAUUACAGUGCCGCGGGGCGUGCGCCUUGGCCGCUCCCCGCACACGGCCACCCGUGUCUACCUAACCUCCUGUUGCCUCGGCGGGCCCGCCGGGCGCGUCCUCCAAAACCCUUCGGGGCUCGGGGGCCCCCCGGCCGCUGGGACUCCCCGGCCCGUGCCCGCCAGAGGACCACGCGAACUCUUCUCUGAAUUUAGUGACGUCUGAUC